GACGAACGCUGGCGGCGUGCUUAACACAUGCCAGUCGAACGGAAAGGCCCUGCUUUUGUGGGGUGCUCGAGUGGCGAAAGGGUGAGUAACACGUGAGUAACCUGCCCUUGACUUUGGGAUAACUUCAGGAAACUGGGGCUAAUACCGGAUAGGAGCUCCUGCUGCAUGGUGGGGGUUGGAAAGUUUCGGCGGUUGGGGAUGGACUCGAGGCUUAUCAGCUUGUUGGUGGGGUAGUGGCUUACCAAGGCUUUGACGGGUAGGCGGCCUGAGAGGGUGACCGGCCACAUUGCGACUGAGGUACGGCCCAGACGCCUACGGGAGGCAGCAGUGGGGAAUAUUGCGCAAUGGGCUGAAGCCUGAUGCAGCAGCGCCGCGUGCGGGAUGACGGCCUUCGGGUUGUAAACCGCUUUCGCCUGUGACGAAGCGUGAGUGACGGUAAUGGGUAAAGAAGCACCGGCUAACUACGUG
rnacentral:rRNA from 1 species